AACGAACGCUGGCGGCGGGCCUAACACAUGCAAGUCGAACGGCAGCACGGACUUCGGUCUGGUGGCGAGUGGCGAACGGGUGAGUAAUACAUCGGAACGUGCCCAAUCGUGGGGGAUAACGUAGCGAAAGCUACGCUAAUACCGCAUACGAUCUAAGGAUGAAAGCGGGGGAUCGCAAGACCUCGCGCGAAUGGAGCGGCCGAUGGCAGAUUAGGUAGUUGGUAGGGUAAAGGCCUACCAAGCCGACGAUCUGUAGCUGGUCUGAGAGGAUGAUCAGCCACACUGGGACUGAGACACGGCCCAGACUCCUACGGGAGGCAGCAGUGGGGAAUUUUGGACAAUGGACGCAAGUCUGAUCCAGCCAUUCCGCGUGCAGGAUGAAGGCCCUCGGGUUGUAAACUGCUUUUGUACAGAACGAAAAGGCUCUGGUUAAUACCUGGGGCCCAUGACGGUACUGUAAGAAUAAGCACCGGCUAACUACGUGCCAGCCGCCGCCGUAAGAC
rnacentral:rRNA from 1 species